UCUUCCUCUAGUCCCCCUUCUUUCUGUCUCCUUCCCUUGCUCUGCGUCUCUUAGAGGUCUCAUGUCCUGUGCUUGUCCAUUUUGCUUCCGUUGUCUCUUCUAGACUGCUGGAGUUAAUACCACCGACAAAGAGAUGGAGGUGCUUCACUUAAGAAAUGUCUCCUUUGAGGACGCAGGGGAGUAUACGUGCUUGGCGGGUAACUCUAUCGGACUCUCCCAUCACUCUGCAUGGUUGACCGUUCUGGAAGCCCUGGAAGAGAGGCCGGCAGUGAUGACCUCGCCCCUGUACCUGGAGAUCAUCAUCUAUUGCACAGGGGCCUUCCUCAUCUCCUGCAUGGUGGGGUCGGUCAUCGUCUACAAGAUGAAGAGUGGUACCAAGAAGAGUGACUUCCACAGCCAGAUGGCUGUGCACAAGCUGGCCAAGAGCAUCCCUCUGCGCAGACAGGUAACAGUGUCUGCUGACUCCAGUGCAUCCAUGAACUCUGGGGUUCUUCUGGUUCGGCCAUCACGGCUCUCCUCCAGUGGGACUCCCAUGCUAGCAGGGGUCUCUGAGUAUGAGCUUCCCGAAGACCCUCGCUGGGAGCUGCCUCGGGACAGACUGGUCUUAGGCAAACCCCUGGGAGAGGGCUGCUUUGGGCAGGUGGUGUUGGCAGAGGCUAUCGGGCUGGACAAGGACAAACCCAACCGUGUGACCAAAGUGGCUGUGAAGAUGUUGAAGUCGGACGCAACAGAGAAAGACUUGUCAGACCUGAUCUCAGAAAUGGAGAUGAUGAAGAUGAUCGGGAAGCAUAAGAAUAUCAUCAACCUGCUGGGGGCCUGCACG
rnacentral:sRNA from 1 species